UGGAAAGUCUCUCACCAUUAUCUGUAAGGA
rnacentral:piRNA from 1 species